CCUACGGGGGGCAGCAGUGAGGAAUAUUGGUCAAUGGACGAGAGUCUGAACCAGCCAAGUAGCGUGAAGGAUGACUGCCCUAUGGGUUGUAAACUUCUUUUAUAUGGGAAUAAAAUGUUCCACGUGUGGGAUUUUGUAUGUACCAUAUGAAUAAGGAUCGGCUAACUCCGUGCCAGCAGCCGCGGUAAUACGGAGGAUCCGAGCGUUCUCCGGAUUUAUUGGGUUUAAAGGGAGCGUAGGUGGAUGGUUAAGUCAGUUGUGAAAGUCUGCGGCUCAACCGUAAAAUUGCAGUUGAAACUGGCAGUCUUGAGUACAUGAGAGGUGGGCGGAAUUCGUGGUGUAGCGGUGAAAUGCUUAGAUAUCACGAAGAACUCCGAUUGCGAAGGCAGUUCACUGGACUGCAACUGACACUGAGGCUCGAAAGUGUGGGUAUCAAACAGGAUUAGAUACCCGGGUAGUC
rnacentral:rRNA from 1 species